rnacentral:rRNA from 1 species
CUUGGUCAUUUAGAGGAAGUAAAAGUCGUAACAAGGUUUCCGUAGGUGAACCUGCGGAAGGAUCAUUAUUGAAAAACUUCUCAAGUUUUUAGUAUCCUAUUGUCUACCUACCAUGUUGCUUCCACUGGACGUGUUUUACCUUGUGUAAGACCUUUGGCUUGUGUGAAUAACCCAAGUCAGGGAGUUGCCAGUGGCAAGACCAUCUACCAAAACUUGCUUAAAAUACUACUGUCUGAAUCUUUUGCUUCAAUGAAAUAAAACUUUCAACAACGGAUCUCUAGGCUCUUGCAUCGAUGAAGAACGCAGUGAAAUGCGAUAAGUAAUGUGAAUUGCAGAAUCUCGUGAAUCAUCGAAUCUUUGAACGCACAUUGCGCCCUAUGGUAUUCCGUAGGGCAUGCCUGUCUGAGCGUCAGCUCCCCCCCCACUCAAGUAUCUUUACUUUUUUGAUUCUUGGACUGAUUUGGAGAGGUGUCUUGUCAUGUAGACGCCCUCCAGAAAUUCAUAGGCAGUAUGGUUUGCACCUGAACCAGACGUAAUAAUAAUAAAAUCGUUUGUUUGGGUAUGAUUGUGCUUGCCUUAACCCACCCAUUUCUUUGUUUGGGUGACCUCAGAUCAGGUAGGGAUACCCGCUGAACUUAAGCAUAUCAAUAAGCGGAGGA